rnacentral:lncRNA from 1 species
GACCUUAAUAUCAGGACCCAACAUAUAGGCAUGGACCAUACCAUCAAUUUCAAAAUGCUCCUCAACCGUCUACUACUGGUCACAGCUCAGCUUUUGAGGAAAAAGUUUUGAAAGCACUAGAACGAUUAGAAGUCAACACUCAAACCCUUAACUCCCACACACAAUCCAUUGCUAAACUAGAGACCCAAAUAGGUCAACUAGCGACUGCAUUCAGUA